UAGAUGAGAAGUAAAUUUUUGUAAAUUUCUGUAAGUAAAUUUAGCAUUUUAAUAAUGUAAAUUCCACUACAUACUGUAAAUUGCACUUGUUCCCACUUACUGUGUAUCUUUUAACCUUUAUCUCAUUAUUUAUUAGAGCUUUUUUUUUCUCAGUUAAAAUUGCUCAGCUGUUACCCAUAUACAUGUGUCCUUUCUACCUCAGGAGCAUUAUUAUGAGCCAGUCUCCCAUUGUGGAUUCCUAAACUGCGCAACCUUAGACGGAAUCUCGACCAGGGGCAGAGACGUUAUAAGAAGCGAAAAGUGACAGAUGACUGUGGUGAAGACAAGAAGCUCAGGCAAGAGGAUGGGAAUACCAGCAGCACAGAUGAGUGUGUCACUCUGAUCAAAAGAUUGCGGCCCUCAGCUGAGAACCUUCCAACUAUCAUGUCAGGCAUGGAGGAAACAUACACCAGUCGCAGAGCCUGGAUUAGCAAGGACUCCCCCACUGCCGCUGAAAUAUUCAGAGAGUACCCACAGUUUUUUGGACAUGCCAAGUCUGGUGGACUUGGAGUUUGGCAAGCUUACAGGAGGAAAGACGGAUCUCUUUUUACGAAAAUGGGAAGCCAGUAUCAUUCCGAAGCUCAAAUCAGUAGCUGCCCUGGAAACAAGAAUCCCCCCGCCGUGUGUUAACACACCUGCUCCCACCAGUUAGUGCCAGUCGUUGCAGCCUUAAAUCAGCUAUAACCCACUUGGUUGAUUUUGCACUGCCUGGAACAAGUAUUGCAUCGUUUUGCAGUGAUCCUGAAGCAUCAUCCACAACACACCAACCCCAGCUGAUAUGCAUCGGUGAUCUAAAGAGUGCAACCAGGCAGUACAUCAUUGUUGCUAAGAAUGACAGAGUAACCAUUUCUCCGAAUGAAGCCCAGACGUGUGUUGUGGAUAAGCUUUUCAAACUGUACUGGGUAUGUAACUUGUCCUAUCCAGCACCGCUUGUCUUCACCUUCUUUGAGUUUGUCUAUGACCUGCCGCUGUCCACCCAAAGGAAAACCAAAGUACUGGAGCUGAUUGCACAGAUUAAAGCAUGCAAGUAAAAUGUUCACCUGUCCAAAAUGUAGAGAGUCUCUGUUCACAAAGGUGAGAAACCUCAUUUGGCAUCUUUGUCAAAUACACUGCUUAUCUGGACUCUGACCAUUUUUAUGCCUAUGCAGUGGAAAGGUCAGACAAUAUGAACUGAUUGGCUGAAAUUUUUGAUUUUCGGCCUUUAUAUAUAGUGACAAGCUUUGAUGCUAAUAAGCUGUAUUUAAACCCAAGGUACAAAAUUGUAUAACCUGGAUGCUAUAUUUGCCAAAAUGUAUGUUUUUCUGUUUGCAUGCAACUGCACAUUUGUUGAAUGUUGACAAUUUGUUGAAGAUGACAACUGUUACCUUUAAAAUUUUUUAAUUCAAUUUAAUUAUUGUCUGGACAUGAAAAAAAAAAAAAUAUAUAUAUAUGAUAUUUUGCCCUUUUUUCAAUUUUUUUGACAUUUUAAUGAUCUGGAGAGAUAGAAAGUUAGUCACAUAUGAAUUUUGUUUGAUUUUGUCAAGUAAAAAUUCUGACAGCUGUUGUUUAUUCAGUUUGUAAUGAUUUAUAAUAUGCUAAAUAAAAAAUGGAAUUCAAUAAAUGUAUAAUAUAUA